rnacentral:rRNA from 1 species
GAUGAACGCUAGCGGCAGGCUUAAUACAUGCAAGUCGAGGGGCAGCACAGGUAGCAAUACUGGGUGGCGACCGGCAAACGGGUGCGGAACACGUACGCAACCUUCCUUCAAGUGGGGGAUAGCCCGGGGGAAACCCGGAUUAAUACCCCCGUAAUAUAACAGGGUGGCAUCACUUUAUUAUUAUAGCUCCGGCGUUUGAA